rnacentral:rRNA from 1 species
UACGUAGGGUGCGAGCGUUGUCCGGAAUUAUUGGGCGUAAAGAGCUUGUAGGCGGUUUGUCGCGUCUGCUGUGAAAAUCCGGGGCUCAACCCCGGACUUGCAGUGGGUACGGGCAGACUAGAGUGUGGUAGGGGAGACUGGAAUUCCUGGUGUAGCGGUGAAAUGCGCAGAUAUCAGGAGGAACACCGGUGGCGAAGGCGGGUCUCUGGGCAGUAACUGACGCUGAGGAGCGAAAGCGUGGGUAGCGAACAGG